GCAAGCUGGUGGACAUAUUUUUUCUAUGACCAACAGUCAUGGUCCUGUCACAAGGAGCCAAACUGCUUUAAGCUUGGAAGUCCAAACAAGUCCUUGUGCCAACAUACAGAGAACUACUAUCACCACAAGUCCUGGUCCUAUGACUCGAAGGCAGCUGGCAUUAACCAUGGAAGGUGAAGCCACUACUGCUACGACCUCUCCUACUACUACUGCGCCCACUCCUACUACUGCAGUCACCCCCCUUCGGAGGAAGCAAUUAGCUGUGAAGAAGAAGAUCACUCCAAGGAAGGCAAAAAAAUGAUGUUCUUCAUGCAAAACUGUUAUGUUUAGCUAAACUUGUCUUGCUGUUUUGUUGGGAAACCAUGAACCCCAAUACUAUGUUUCAUGGCUGCUUUUGUGGAACUG